UUGAACUAUAAAAAAACUGGAAGGCUAACUCAGGGGGGGAAAUUGAAGCCAGUGCAUUUUAGUUUUUCUGAGUUAUGAGCAGAAAUACUCAACACUGAACGCUAGGCUAUAUAUCAAAUUGAAGCUAUUGAAAAACUCUAUUUGGUGUAGAAAUUUCAAGACUUUAGCUAAAAGGGAAAUAUUGAAAAACUACAAACAUAAUUACCGAUAAUUUGCCGUUUUGCAGUUGUUUUUGUAUUUUUUAAAUAUUUUUCUUUUCGCUGAAGUCUUGAAAUUUCCACACCGAAUAGCAAUUUUCAAUAGCUUCAAUUUGAUAUAUAGUCCGACGUUUGGGGUCAGGUAUUUCUGCUCAUAACUCAGAAAAACUAUUUUGGCUUCAUCAAAUCAUAGGCCUUCAUCAUAGCAGUUAGCCUUCCAGUUUAUUUAUAGUUCAAUGCGUC